rnacentral:rRNA from 1 species
UACGUAGGGGGCAAGCGUUGUCCGGAAUUAUUGGGCGUAAAGCGCGCGCAGGCGGUCUCUUAAGUCUGAUGUGAAAGUCCACGGCUCAACCGUGGGAUUGCAUUGGAAACUGGGGGACUUGAGUGCAGAAGAGGAGAGUGGAAUUCCUGGUGUAGCGGUGAAAUGCGUAGAGAUCAGGAGGAACACCAAUGGCGAAGGCAGCUCUCUGGUCUGUAACUGACGCUGAGGCGCGAAAGCGUGGGUAGCAAAC